rnacentral:lncRNA from 1 species
UACAAGGAUGCAUUACUGAAAUCAUUGCUAUGGAUAGCAAAACUAGUGGGACCUCCUGAGAGCAUCUAGAGUGUUCUUGGAAGUGAGCUGCUAUGACUAAAAAACCUGACACGAGCAAUUUUAAAGGAGGACAAGUUUAUUUGGGGGCUCACAGUUUCAAAGAUCUCAGAAUGGCCAACUCCAUUCUUUAGGGCCAAGGUGAGGCAGAACAUCAUGGCAGAAGAAUGAUAUGGAGGAAAGUGACUCAGAACAUGGCAUCAGGAAGGCAGGGUGGGGGGUGGGAGAGGGAGGGAGGGAGGGAGGGGGAGAGAGACAGACUCCUCUCCUCACCACAGACAAAAUAUAAACCCCAAAGGCACACCCCCAAUGACUCUCCUCCUCCAGCCACACCCUACCUGCCUAUAGUUACCACCCAGUUAAUCCCUAUCAAGGGAUUAAGGCUUUCAUAACUCGAUUAUUUAUUUCACCUCUAAACUUUUUUUCAUUGUUUCACACAUGAGCUUUUGGGGAACACCUUCUAUCAAAACCAUAAGAGAGCUCCUGAAGUCCAGAAGGCUGAGGAAUUUAAGUCUUCUGUUUUCCAUGGAUUGAGCAAUGUCCCUGAAGGCAUUAGUCUUCUGCAUUCCAAGAUGUGAUCAGUGGUUGAAGUGGACAGCUGUCAUCACAAGGUAAGUCUGGGCACACACAGAAUUAUCCAUAGCUGUUGCAGUUGAUAUCUAAGGUUGAGCCGGUGUAUGUAAAGCAGGGCACUGGCCACGUCUGCUAAAAAUACUUCAGCAGAAAGAUAAAAGGAAGGAAAUUUUGAAGGAAAAACUGAGUUGCUGGAGGAGAGAAUCAAGAGACUUGACAUACAAAUAAAUGAUGUUACAGAAGGAAACUAAUAGAUGGAAAAGAAAUAAUAAGUAAUCAUUGACAACAAGGACAUGUCAAACGAAACACAAGAAAAUUUUCCAUAAGAUAAGUAUAUGCUUAUACUAUUUAUAUACUCUUAACUCCUACACUCAUCUCUUUGGAUUGACUUGAAGACUAGUAUACCCUGUAGUUACUUAACAGCACCAUUGGAUAAUCAGAUUAAAUUUUCCAGAUUAGCACAGUAAAUACAGAACUCAUCCUUUUCUCUCUUUUUCUCUCAUUUCAACUUGCUCUUUUUCAAUCUUAACUAUUGCAGGAGGUACUGUCAUUCAUGUCACUGUUCAAGCCCAGAGCCCUGGAGAAACUUUGAUUACUCUUAUAUAUCACACCCCACCCUCUUCUACUAGUUGGCUUUACCUUUAGAUUAUCCCAUAUCUGAUCACAUUUCAUCACCAUAGUGCAAACCAUCAUCAUUUUUUUUUCACCCAGAUAACUGUGGUAGCUGUCUGUGAUAUUAUGAUUAAAUUAGAAGUGCAUAUUUGCUCUCUGCUCCCAGUUCUAAUAUUUGGUCUUUGUCUCCUGCUUCCUGACACAGAGCCCCAAGUCCUUUGUAAUUUGAGGAGUGAUAGGUGUGUCUGACACGGAGUUCCUAAAUCCCUGAGAUUUUCCUGUAGAUCUUCAAUUCUAAUGAGAUGACUCUUGGUGGGCUCCCAGAUAGCCUCAAAUGGGUGCUGGUUGCCAAGGGAACCAAUCAUAUGAUUAGCCAGUUGGAAGUUUCAGCCCUAUCCCUGAGCUCUAGGGAAAACGGAGGGGCUGAAUACUUAGUUGAUCACCAGUUGUCAAGGAUUUAGUCAAUCAUGCCUAUAUAAUGAAGCCUCCAUGAAAACUCAAAAGGACAGUGUUGGAGGAAGAGCUCGGGGGUCAAGUUCUUGUCUAGCACGUGCCAGGGCCUGGGAUUGAUCACCAGCACUGUGGAGGAGAAAAGGAUACACCAAAAGACCACCAAAGAGCUUCCAGAUUACUAAGUAUGUGGUCAUUUCUGGAGGCUGGUGUGUUCAGAAAGGGCAGGGUACUUCCAUGCCCCUUUUUCCAAGCCUGGCCCUGUGUCUCUCUACCAUAUGAUGGUACAUCUGUAUCCUUUGUAAUAUUCUUUAUACCAAAUGGGAAACAUAAAUAUUUCCCUGAGUUCUGUGAGCCACUCCAGCAAAUUAAUUAAACUCAAGGAGGGGGGUCGUAGGAACCCCAAUUUAUAACUGGUCCAUCAGAAACACAAGUUAUAAUCUGGGCCUUGAAAUUGGCAUCAGAAGUGAGGACACUUUUGGGGGACUGAGCCCUUGACCUGUGGGGUCUGAUUGGAUCUCCAGGUAGACAGUAUCAGGAUUGAGUUAAAUUAUAGGACCUUCAGUCAGUGUCUGAUAGGGAAUUGACUAUUUGGAGUGUGGAAAGUAAUCUUCACGUAGAUGGUGUCAGUAGUAUUGUGUUGAGUGACGGUGUGAGAGUAAUGAGGAAAAUUCCAAUUUGGGUUCUCUGUCCCUCUUGUUCACACACAGUCUGUUUUUUUACACAAAACCCAGAGUGGAACUUUUAAAUAUCUUGAUUAGUUUUUGUGACUCUCUGGCCCCAAGACCUCUAAAGACUCUCCAUAUAAGAACAUUCCCAUACGUUUAGAAAAAAAUUCCCAACAAUUCCUCACCAUGACCUGAAAACCCUACAGGAUGUACUUGUCCAUUCUUUAGUUAUCUCUUGUUCCCUCUUCUCUAGCAUAAUUUCACUACAUCCCAGUCUUCUGGUUGUUUCCAAACACUCCAGUCUAUUCCCACAGUGUUCACUGUUUCCUCUACCUUAAAUUCAAUCUCACCAGAGUCUUAGGGCAAUGUGGCAUAAUUUAUUUCUAAAUGCAUAUAGUUUAAUUUUUAAUCUGGGAUCAUUCUAAGUGUAUAACUGUAUAACAAGUUGUUAUUAACAAUUGUGUCAGUAUAUGAAACCAUCCCAGCCAUAAAUGUUCACCCUGAGAUAUUUUUCAUGGCCUGCUGCCUUAUUAAUUGUAGGUCUUAUGUCAAAGGUCUUUAUUUGCCUCCCAAUUUAGGAUAGACAUUUUACCAUCUCUAAACCUAAAUUUCCUUGACUAUUUUUUAUUUUUCUUCAUGGCACCCAAUAUUUCCUGAAAUCAUAUUAUGUGAUCAAUUGGUUAUUUAUUGAAUGUCUGCCUCCCUUUCUUAAACAGAGGCUCCAUAGAGGCAAGACCUUAUCUAUCUUGUGUAGCACCACACCUUUGAUGUCAGGAGCACAUAGCAGAGGCUCACUAAAUUUCUGUAGAAUGCAUGGUCAAAUCUCUUGCAGAAGACUACCACCCACCGCUUGCCUGCCUCACCUUGGGAGAGUUCCUAUUGGAAUUUGAUAAUAGGUAGAUUGGAGAGGUAAAGAGCAUCAAGGCUGAGCUUAGUGACUGAGCUUAGUAUUCCAGGACUUCAGUCUGAGAUGGAUGAGGCACCAGGAGUCUUCAGGCACAUUUUGGUUAGAUUGUGUGUCAUUAUUGUGUUUAUGUGCAUUCUUUUCAGUCUGACAUAGAAAACCAGAGAGCAGUUGUUGUCCAGAGAGCAGAGAUCAGUUAUCUACCUCUAGGAGACUGGUCAGGGUCAUGCAUGGAAUCAAGCCCCAGCUUUUCUGGCUGAAGGUCAGGGAUGGCUUGUGGCCCAGUGUGAGGGGACCUGGAUUGCAAGUCAAGAUGUCUUUGAUGAGGCAAGGUUUGCUAGGUUAGUGUGAUUCUAGGAAUGAUUGAUUUCCAAGCUAGGAUAUAUUCUUUUUACUUUCUGACAUUUCUCUCUUCCUCCUGGUGCUCAUACUAGGAUUUAUGGAAAAUUAUUUCUAUGACUGUUAAAGCUAGAGCUGGGGGAAGGUCAUGUCACCAGAGUUGAAUAAAGCGGUCAAACUAAAAAAUAGCUUCAGCCUAGAAACUGGGAGAUGGGAAAAGGAAAAAAAGAAAAAAAAUACUUAGUGGCCUGAAAAUCAGAAGGUUUAUGUUCUAUACAAGUUCUGGCACUAAAUUUUUGGGUGAUUUCAGGGUAUCAUUCUUUUUCAUUUAAGAAAUGAGGUCUAUGAACAGGUUAAUCUUAAAGGAUUCUAUCAAAUCUGAAAAAAAUUCACCAAUUCAUCAUUUGAUGAUUCUUUUCAAUUCAGUAAGUAUUUAUCAAGAAUCUUCCAUGUGCUGGGGAAUGGACCAGGACCUGGGUAAGCAGAAGAAUUAUGGUCUCUGCCCUUUGGGUCUAGUGAGGGAGGCAGGCAAGGGAAUGAGCAGGUAGUUAAGCGCCUGAGCACAUGCUAGAGGCUCUUUCAAGGCUCACUGGAACACAGUUGAAGGACUAAGUUAAUUCUCUAUGCUGGAUUCAGGGUGGGGGGUGCAAGAAGGGCUGUUUGAGCUGAGAUUCUUAAGGACUUCAGGGGAGAAAGGAGGAAGAAUGAUCCCAACAGAGGGAUGAACAAUAUUAAAGUAGCAUGACGGUCCAUGAUAAAUCAGGGAAUAGAUACUAGUUCUAUAGAAGAUAAGGAUCCAUGAGAUACAGAGUGUUACUAGGGGGAGUAUGAAAUUGAUUGGAGUCAUAUUGACAGAGAACUUGGCCAAUGUGUUUUUUUUUUUCUUUAAGGCAUGUGUACUUUAUUAACUGGGAAUAUUUAAAGGGGCAUGAAAUAGACUUUACAGCGGAUGGUGGCUUAAACAACAAAGACAUUGCAUUUUCUCAUAGAGCAAGAUGUACAGUAGUGAGUUCUUUGCAGUUUGGGGCAGCACCUCAACAGUAUCUUCAAAGACUCAAGAUUUCCCCAUUCUCCCUGUGUUCUCAUCAUGCUGACUUUCCAUUCUCAGGCUUUUGGCCUCAUGGUCGUGUAUAAUUAUUGGACUGCUAGCGGUUGUAAUUGAUGACUCCCUCAAUUCUAAGUGGCAUAAUGUAACUUCAGUUUAUUCCUUUCUGUAAAAUCCACACAGCUUUUCUGAUAAGCAAGUGGCUUUUCUUCAAAUGUUUUUCUUCUUCUCCACCAGCUUCAGAACAUCUUUCAAGACUACUGAUUUCCAUCAAGGUGGGAAGGGAAAUAAUAUGGAGGACCAGACAUGACUUUUCCAUGUUACUUCCAAACUUCAUAUAGAACUUUCCUCCAUACUCUACGACAUAGAAUCCCAUAAUAUCUAACUGCAAGGGAAAAUGGGAAAUGGAGAGUAUUGUGACCUUAGGAAGAAGAGGAAAGAGGGUUGCUGAUGGGCUAGCAAACUUUGCCACAGGUUACAUUAUGGGUUCUGCAGCUUUAAAUAUCACCUGUUACAAAAUCUCCCUCCAAGGGAGGAAGAAGGGGGAAGAGGUAGUGCCAAAAAUCUCUCCCCAUGAGUUCAUGCCAGUUUUUCUGGAGAUUUCAGAGAAUACUUCACCUUACACA